CUGAAAUGCUCCUUUGCCCAUGGCUACGUUCCCCUGUCCCCAGAGCCACCUCUCGUGGAUCCCGCAUCCCUAAUUCUCAGUAGUACCACUGCUUCCCCAAAUCCCACUUUGCUGCAGCAGGUCUGGGCAAUCCCCAGCAUGUGGUCACACCUUUGCUAGAUCCCUUUUCCAAACUCCAUACUCUUCUGUGCCUUCUUUGCAGAUGCCAUGGAUCUGCCCCGGCAAGACCUUCCCCCACUAUGCUUUUGAAUAACGUUGCUUUUGUAUGGCGAUGUUUGCCUUCAUCCCCACUUCUGCACAUCCCUCAUCUGCUGCUGUUGUAUUCCCAAGCUUGGAGGCUUGCGAGUCAGUGAGAAGAGAGAACAAGAGACACCUGCAGAGAAUGAUUCAUUCUGUGCCUGUUCGACACCGCUCUGGAUGGAACAAGUCUCCUUGCUGGGUGUUGUCUCUCCCCAUCAAUUCUCAGCAGAAGCUAGACAACCAGUUCUGACCAGAAGCCUGACUUACGGGUGCCACGUGAGAUGAAUUGUACCACAGAUGACUAAUUUUUCUCAUUCAUCAUACCUGCUUUUGGCCUAUAGAAGUUGGGGUAGUGGAGGGGAAUCGUGUGCCAUAUCUUCCUGCUUUCCAAUCCAAGAUGCCAAAGUCUACCGGAGCACACAGUUGACUAGUAUAAAAUGAUACAUGCAGACCAGAAGUGGAAUACAUAUUGAUCAGAAGUUGAGUACGUGCUGACAAACCACCUCAAAAAAAACACAGUAACUCAGUUGGCUGGAUCCAUAUGGAGCUGAUGAACCUCUGAAUGAAUAGUGAAUGGAAAAACUGCUGGAAUCUGCCUUCAGCUUUGUUCCCAGGAUGACCAAUGUAAAAGGCCUAAGAGCAAUACUGCACAGAUGGUGUAAAGAGAUCUGAUACAUAUUUGUUAAAGACAGUGGGGAAGAAAAGAGCGGGAUAAAACGGGUUGGGGAGUUCAUGUGAGAAAAGCUGCUGAAAGAUCAGUGAUUCCAUCACCGAGGAGCUGUUUCACGGGUUUAUGAGCAAGCAAGAAGUAAAGUGGAAUCAACAGGGAUGUUGUGAAUGGCUUUUGUAGUCCUGCUGUCACUGGGGAAUCAUGCACGUCUGCCGGUCCUGAAGCAUUUCUUGGUUGUUUAUGAGGGCUGAAAUCACCUCCUUUCAAAUUUACCUUUUGGACUCUGCACCACUGUGGUUAGCACCGGGCUGUAUAUCUGAGCUGAAAGACAACACCUCCAGCAAUACCGUGUCCUUGGCACUGUGUGGCUUCAGGUCUGACUCAGAUGGAUAAACGCCUUUGGAGGAGUGACUUGAAGUGUAAACCACACUAUCUGCUUUUAAUCUUGGAUUCUUUCCAGCUCCAGAUUUCACAUCUCUGUUACAGGCCAACAAACAGCCCUGGGAUCCAAAAAAAUACCUUUGCAACCACGCUCUAAUAAAUAAAUCUCUUUCUAUUGAUACAUACCUCUGAUAACUUCUAC
rnacentral:lncRNA from 1 species